UUUCACUCCCAUAUGUUUGGCCUCACCAAGGAAAAGAGGAAAGAAAGAAAGAACAAAACCCUAGUUAGAAAAAUUCAAGAGAAAAUUUUGGAAUUUCAAGGAAUCAAGUGACAAAAGGUAAGAUUUUUCAAUUUUAGCUUGAGAUCUAUCUUUCCUAAGCAUUCUUUCUCAUUUUCCAUGGUUGAAAUUCAUGAUUUCAUGAUGGAUCCCUUGUUGGCCGAACCUAGGGGGAGAAGAUUUGAUGAUGAAUUUAGUUGGAAAACAUGUUAUUCUAGUGUUUUUAGUUGGUUGGUGAUGUGUAGCAUGAAAAGCAAACAAGAAAAAUUCAUGUUCUUCCAUCACCCUUAUUUGGCCGAAUCUUCCUUAUGGUAUAAUGAAUGGUGGAUCUGAUUUUAUUUCAAGUGAUUUGGUUAGGAACUAAUGAUUUAUGGUAUAAAAAAAUCAAGUAUGAAAAACCAUAGUGUUUAUGCACCCACCAUGGCUGAAUUUCAUAAGGAACCUAGUGAUGAUGAUUCUUGUGAUAUCUUGUGUUAUUUAGUUAGAAUUUAAUGAAUGGUGGUGAUGGAAAUCGAAAAUGGUAAUUUUAAAGUAUAGUUCUUUUAGUAAAUAAGUUGAAUAACAAUGAGAAAGUCAAGCUCAUUGAGGCACUUUGGUGUAUUUUGGGACAUUGGAAGUGUGAUGAAUAUAAUUGGAGUCAAUUUGGAUGUUUUGGUUAAAUCAAAGGUGGAGAGUUCGAAUUAGGUCGAAAAUCGAUGCAUUCCGAUCACAAUUGAACCAACGUGUAACACCAUCUUUAAGUGACUAUCCAAACAACCUCAUGCAUUCAUAUAGAGCCUGAAAUAGAUUUAUAAUGAUAUGACACAAUAUAUUGAAUUAUUUGUCGUGUAUUGUGUAUAGGUGGUGAGUCUUCUAACAAAGGUAAAGACAUUGUGCCAGAGGACCAAGAAUAGGAGUAUUUCGAACUCCCGAUAUCAUGAGUAACCUUAUUAUCGUCUUAAUUAUCUAAAGUAGUUUUUAUUCGUAUUUGUGAUUUUAUAGAAAAAUGAGUUUAAAUGGUAAAUCCUUAUGUUUUAUAAGUAAAACGUGAUUAAAUGAAAUGAGUUUUAUAAAUCAUUUUGAAAUUGAAUGAUGAUUUUAGAAAUUGAGUAAUUGGAGACUGUUUGUUUGUGUUGUAAAUUUAUGGUUUGAAUGGAAUGGCUUAUGGUGAUAUUGGCAUGAAUGGUUGAGUUGGAAAUUGUAUUGAAUAUAUGAACUGUUUUGCUUUGCCUUGACAGGCUGGUAAUAUUAUAUUAGCCAUGUUAUGCUGUCGAAAUUUUAUUGAUUUGGUGGGAUAUCGAUUAGCUUACUGCAGUGGGCGGGUUUUUGUUAUGCUUUAGAGUUCAACACACGCUAAACCACCACGUGAGGGUGAACUCAGCCAACGCCAAGGAACGACUAUGCUUUUAAACGAAAAAAAUGUGUUUUAUGCGUAUAUGAACUUUUCUUUAAUAGCCUUGGCGGACUUGGUUGAAUGCCCCGGCCAAGGUAUCCCUGAGAAUGAGUUUUGGCACAAGCCAAAUUUUUAAGAAAUUCAUAAGCCAUGUUUGAUUAUUUGAGUGAAAUGAAUUUAUUUUGUUUAGUUGAAAUGAGUUUGAAACGUUAUGAAUCAUAGUACGAUGAACUAUUUUAAGUUGUCUCCAUUUACUCGACUUUAGAUAUUUUAGAUGAUGUUUGUUUACUCACUAAGUUUAUAUAAACUCACCACCCUUCUUUCCACCCAUUUA
rnacentral:lncRNA from 1 species